rnacentral:rRNA from 1 species
UACGAAGGGGGCUAGCGUUGUUCGGAAUCACUGGGCGUAAAGCGCACGUAGGCGGAUUGUUAAGUCGGGGGUGAAAUCCUGAGGCUCAACCUCAGAACUGCCUUCGAUACUGGCAAUCUCGAGUCCGGAAGAGGUUGGUGGAACAGCUAGUGUAGAGGUGAAAUUCGUAGAUAUUAGCUAGAACACCAGUGGCGAAGGCGGCCAACUGGUCCGGCACUGACGCUGAGGUGCGAAAGCGUGGGGAGCAAACAGG